rnacentral:rRNA from 1 species
GUGCCAGCCGCCGCGGUAAUACGGAGGGUGCAAGCGUUGUCCGGAUUUAUUGGGUUUAAAGGGUGCGUAGGCGGCCCGUUAAGUCAGUGGUGAAAGCCUCCAGCUCAACUGGAGAACUGCCAUUGAUACUGACGGGCUUGAGUACAGACGAGGUUGGCGGAAUUGAUUGUGUAGCGGUGAAAUGCAUAGAUACAAUCAAGAACUCCGAUUGCGUAGGCAGCUAACUAGGCUGUAACUGACGCUGAGGCACGAAAGCGUGGGGAGCGAACAGGAUUAGAUACCCUCGUAGUCC